rnacentral:rRNA from 1 species
CUACGGGAGGCAGCAGUGGGGAAUAUUGCACAAUGGGGGAAACCCUGAUGCAGCGACGCCGCGUGAGUGAAGAAGUAUUUCGGUAUGUAAAGCUCUAUCAGCAGGAAAGAAAAUGACGGUACCUGACUAAGAAGCCCCGGCUAACUACGUGCCAGCAGCCGCGGUAAU